rnacentral:lncRNA from 1 species
CCCUUUCCUUCCUUUCUUUUUGGUUUAGAGAAGCCCUUUCAAUAUUUCCUUUAACCUGGGUUUUGUGUUGCUGUAUUCUUUAAGUUUUUGUUUGUUGGGAAAAAUUUUUAUUUCCCCUUCUAUUUUAAAUGAUAUUCUUGCUGGAUAGAGUAUUCUAGGUUGCAUAUUUUUUCCUUUGAGCACUUUAAAUAUCUCUUGCCAUUCCCUCCUGGCCUGUAGUGUUUCUGUAGAGAAAUCAGCUGAUAUUCUUAUGGGGGUUCCCUUGUAGGUAACAUUCUGUUUUUCUCUUGCUGCCUUUAGGAUCCUCUCUUUAUCACUAACUUUUGCCAUUUUUAUUAUGAUGUGUCUUGGUGUGGGUCUGUUUGGGUUCAGUUUGUUUGGGGCCCUCUGUGCUUCUUGUAUCUUGAAUCCAGUAUCCUUUAGAUUUGGGAAGUUUCCAGCGAUAAUUUCUUCAAAUAUAUUUUCCAUUCCCUUAUCUUUUUCUACUCCUUCUGGAAUUCCUAUUAUGCGUAGAUUGGCCCGCUUUAUAUUAUCCCAUAGGUCUCUUAUAUUGCUUUCCAGUUUUUUGAUUCGGUUUUCUGUCUGUUGACCAGAUUGAGUGAUUUCCAUUAUUCUAUCUUCCAUAUCACUGAUUCGUUCUUCUGCAUUAUUCAUUCUGGUUUUUACUGCCCCUAGUUCAGUUUGCAUCUCUGCAAAUGAAUGUUCUAGUUUUUCUUGGCUCCUCCUUAUAUUUUCUAGUUCCUUUCUGAGGGUAUCUGCAUUACUGUUCAUAUCUUCUCUUAAUUCCUUCAGUAUUUUCACUAUUUCUCUUUUGAACUCCAGGUCUGUCUGACUGCAGAGAUCUGUUUCAUUGUUGACUGUUUUAGGUGAGUUCUCCUGUUGGUUUGACUGGGGGUGGUUUCUCAGCUUCUUCAUCUUGCUUGUUGUUUUCUUUCUCCUGAGGGAGUUGUACUCUCCGUUAUCGGGCAGUGUUUGCCUUGUCACUGCCGUGGAAUAUUUCCUGAGGGCUGGCGUUGUUGGUCAAUCUUUUUUGAGGCAGUGUGGCUUUUCUGGAGUGUUGAUGGGGCUAACAGUGUUUCUUUGAAGCAAAGGAGGACUUCCUGAGGGCAGACAGGACUGGGAGGUCCACACCACGAUGGUAGCAGAUUUCACUUGGUCAUGCAGAGCUUGCUCUGGUGUUUUUAGGCUGUGGGGUUCUUGCAGGGGGUUGGCGGUGUUGGGCAGCUGUUCCUCAGGAGUGCAGCACCCCCUGGGGGCUGGAGCAGCUAUCUGGGUCACUGAGAACCUAAGAGGCUCUUCCCUAGGGCAGCCCAACUCAGAAGGACAGCCUGAGAAUGUAGGCGGAUCUUUUCACAGUCUGGCCGAGCUUGUUGCAGCUUUUCUGGGCUGCAGGGGCUCUUCCAGGGGGCUGGUGGUGCUGAGCAGUUAUUUCACGGGAGUGGGGCACCCCCUGGGGGCUUGGGCGGGUAGCAGGGCCGUUGGAGACCCAAGAGGCUCCUCCCCAGGGCAGCCCAACUCAGAAAAACCGUCUGAGAUCUUUUCCCGACUCGGCCAGGCUUGUUGCAGCUUUUCUGGGCUGCAGGGGGUCCUGCUUGGAGCUGGCAGUCCUAUGCAGCUGCUGAUCCACUAGGGCACCCC